UUGUGGAAAUCCUGUUUGGCUUUUUGUCAUUUUAAUUCUCUUUUCUGUUUUCCAGAACAGUUCUCCACAGUCACUGUCCACAUGGGUCAGUGGGACCAAGAAGCACUCUGCUAAUGUGUGGACUCUGACCAGCAACAUCCAGCAAGACCCAGAGAGCGUUUUCUAUCUCCCAGCUGGAGUUUUUUUGUUUGUCUGUGACUGGAGAGUCAGAUUUUUGUUGAGGCUGGAGGAACAGCCUCACACUUGCAGAGGUUAAUACACUCUACUGAUCCCUGAUGGGAGAAUCAUCACCUCUGCCAACAAAGAGGCCUGGUGGAUAUUUGUUUGCAGUCUGAUGAUGGGACACCAUGCUCUGCAUCUUCAAAUCUUUUUGCAGGAUCAGAAAACAAAACCAGGAGGCCUGUAAAUGUUUCUUCUCCAAUUGGAUGAUGAUAAGACUGUGACAUGGGAUGCCACCUUUAGUCUUGUGAUGAAGCAAAGCUCAGGAAGAAGUGUGAUUAAAUUGUACCCACAUGUGUGCUGCUGAGAAGGAUGUACAGGGGCACCUGCUGCCAAAUCCAAGCCUCCUCAGCAACUUCAGGUCUGUCAGCGUGCUGAGGUCACAGAAACAAGAAAAGCAGCUUGACUUCAGAGUGUUGUUUACAGUUUUCUGUCAUCAUGAUCUCCCCUGAAGUUUAUCACUAUUAUACAAGCAAUGGUGAUGGUGUGGAGAGACGGUGGUGUUUCCUCAGAAGAACUAGCAGAGUCACAAAGGGCACGAGUCCUUCUCACCACCUUGACUUGCUGACUGAUGCUCGUCUGCACUGCACAGAGGAAAUCAACUGACCGAGCAGGAAUGGAGGAAUGGAAUCAAAGGGAGAAGUUUUUGAUGUUUUUGUAAUGAUGUAAGUAAAUCUCCAGUUUCUGGGUGAGGGAGAGAGGAGUCAUCAUCCAGGUAAAGUGACGUGGAUCAGUGGAUACACUUGUCUCCCCUUUAAAGGAGACACUAGAGAGAGACGAUCCGAGUCAUCAUAAAAUAUGGGCAGGAUAUCACUAUUGGACUGUCUAACCUGCCGGAGCAGUACUGAAUGACCACCACACAUGAGCAUGUUCCUGCAACAUUCAGCAGCUUUGCUUUUGUGUCAAAUGUCAAACAGCUGGAGAGGAGACUAAACCAGUGUACUGGGAUGUUUCACCAACACGUGCCAGACGCUGUAACUUCAUGGUUUCAUCACCAGAGACAGC